AUUUCCCCAAUGGGUUCUCCGGAUUUCUGGAGACUUGUAGGGGUUGUGGGUUUUUUGAUGUGUCGUCUCCGGACGGGCGGUGCAGGGUAGUCGAGUUAGACUUGGUGGAAUUCCGUCGAUAGGAGUUCCGUCGAGUCUGGUCGGCUGUGUGUUGGACGGUGCAGGGUAGGCUGCUUGGACAUGGUCGGUUCGAGGAUCGAUUCGAGGGCCGGCGCCUGGUCGAUGAUGUGUGAUGUAUGCGGUCUAGGGUAGGCUGGUUUGUCUUGGUUCAAUUUGAUGUCGGCUCCCGUGCAGGCCAGAGUGAGGGGGGUACAGGGUAGGCAGCUUAGAUUUGGUCGAUCUGGAGGUCGAUUCUCCGGCCGGCGGAUCUGACACUGUCGAAACGAGAUGCGAGCGGUGUAGGGUAGGCUAGUUUCGUCCUCGCCAGGUUGCGAUUUGGACGAGAUAUGUGGUUUAGGGUAGGCUCUAGGGUAAGUAGAAUUCGAGUUUCGUCGUCGACAGUUUUCUGUGGGUGUAUGGUAGGUACAGGGUAGGCAAAUCUCUCUCCGGCCAGUACUUGUCUGGUGGUCGUGAGUCGAUUUUUUUGUUUU
rnacentral:misc_RNA from 1 species